rnacentral:rRNA from 1 species
AAUCAACGCUGGCGGCGCGCUUAACACAUGCAAGUCGAACGAGAAAGGGGAGCAAUCCCUGAGUACAGUGGCGUACGGGUGAGUAACACGUGGAUGAUCUAUCUCUUAGUGGGGAAUAAC